ACGGCGGGUGCUAACGUCCGUCGUGAAGAGGGAAACAACCCAGACCGCCAGCUAAGGUCCCAAAGUCAUGGUUAAGUGGGAAACGAUGUGGGAAGGCCCAGACAGCCAGGAUGUUGGCUUAGAAGCAGCCAUCAUUUAAAGAAAGCGUAAUAGCUCACUGGUCGAGUCGGCCUGCGCGGAAGAUGUAACGGGGCUAAACCAUGCACCGAAGCUGCGGCAGCGACACUCAGGUGUUGUUGGGUA
rnacentral:rRNA from 1 species